GCUGGGCAUGGUGGUGCAUGCCUGUAAUCCCAGCGGCUUGGGAGGCUGAAGCAGGAGGAGUACAAGUUAAAAGCAUGCCUCAGCAACUU
rnacentral:sRNA from 1 species